GACGAACGCUGGCGGCGUGCUUAACACAUGCAAGUCGAACGGAAAGGCCCUGCUUUUGUGGGGUGCUCGAGUGGCGAACGGGUGAGUAACACGUGAGUAACCUGCCCUUGACUUUGGGAUAACUUCAGGAAACUGGGGCUAAUACCGGAUAGGAGCUCCUGCUGCAUGGUGGGGGUUGGAAAGUUUCGGCGGUUGGGGAUGGACUCGCGGCUUAUCAGCUUGUUGGGGGGGUAGUGGCUUACCAAGGCUUUGACGGGUAGCCGGCCUGAGAGGGUGACCGGCCCCAUUGGAACUAGGAUACGCCCCAGACUCCUAGGGGGGGAAACAGUGGGAAAUUUUGCAAAAGGGGGGAAAGCCUGAUCCAGCAGCGCCGCGUGCGGGAGGACGGCUUUCGGUUUGAAAACCGUUUCCGCCUGGGAAGAAGGGUGGGUGAGGGUAAGGGGAAAAGAAGCCCCGGCUAACUAGGUC
rnacentral:rRNA from 1 species